UACGUAGGGGGCUAGCGUUGUCCGGAUUUAUUGGGCGUAAAGAGCGUGUAGGCGGCCAGGUAGGUCGGUUGUGAAAACUGGAGGCUUAACCUUCAGACGUCGACCGAAACCAUCUGGCUAGAGUCCGGAAGAGGAGAGUGGAAUUCCUGGUGUAGCGGUGAAAUGCGCAGAUAUCAGGAAGAACACCCGUGGCGAAGGCGGCUCUCUGGGACGGUGCUGACGCUGAGACGCGAAAGCGUGGGGAGCGAACAGG
rnacentral:rRNA from 1 species